rnacentral:rRNA from 1 species
ACUCAAAUGAAUUGACGGGUCCCCGCACAAGCAGCGGAGCGUGUGGUUUAAUUCGAUGCAACGCGAAGAACCUUACCUGGGUUUGACAUGCACUCGCAAGCACCUGAAAGGGUGCCCUCUUCGGACGGGUGCACAGAUGUUGCAUGGCUGUCGUCAGCUCGUGUCGUGAGAUGUUGGGUUAAGUCCCUCAACGAGCGCAACCCUUAUUUCUAGUUGCAAAUCUAGAGAGACUGCCGGAAACAAACCGGAGGAAGGCGGGGAUGAUGUCAAGUCAGCAUGACUCUUACAUCCAGGGCUACACACACGCUACAAUGGAGGGUACAACGAGAAGCCAACCAGCGAUGGAGAGCAGACCUCUAAAAGCCUUCCCCAGUUCAGAUUGCACUCUGAAACCCGAGUGCAUGAAGUCGGAGUUGCUAGUAACCGCGUGUCAGCAUAGCGCGGUGAAUAUGUUCCCGGGGAUUGUACACACCGCCCGU